GACGAACGCUGGCGGCGUGCUUAACACAUGCAAGUCGAACGGAAAGGCCCUGCUUUUGUGGGGUGCUCGAGUGGCGAACGGGUGGGUAACACGUGAGUAACCUGCCCUUGACUUUGGGAUAACUUCAGGAAACUGGGGCUAAUACCGGAUAGGAGCUCCUGCUGCAUGGUGGGGGUUGGAAAGUUUCGGCGGUUGGGGAUGGACUCGCGGCUUAUCAGCUUGUUGGUGGGGUAGUGGCUUACCAAGGCUUUGACGGGUAGCCGGCCUGAGAGGGUGACCGGCCACAUUGGGACUGAGAUACGGCCCAGACUCCUACGGGAGGCAGCAGUGGGGAAUAUUGCACAAUGGGCGGAAGCCUGAUGCAGCAACGCCGCGUGCGAGAUGACGGCCUUCGGGUUGUAAACCGCUUUCGCCUGUGACGAAGCGUGAGUGACGGUAAUGGGUAAAGAAGCACCGGCUAACUACGUG
rnacentral:rRNA from 1 species